rnacentral:rRNA from 1 species
UGGGGAAUAUUGGACAAUGGGGGAAACCCUGAUCCAGCGACGUCGCGUGGGUGAUGAAGAUCUUAGGAUUGUAAAGCCCUUUUAUAAAAGAAGAUAAUGACUGUAUUUUAUGAAUAAGCCCCGGCUAACUUCGUGCCAGCAGCCGCGGUAAUACGAAGGGGGCAAGCGUUAUUCGGAAUGACUGGGCGUAAAGGGCGCGUAGGUGGAUUUGUGCGUUUGAUGUGAAAGUCCUGGGCUUAACCUAGGGAUUGCAUUAAAUACGGCAAGUCUAGAGCGUGAGAGGGGAAAAUGGAAUUGCGGGUGUAGAGGUGAAAUUCGUAGAUAUCCGCAGGAACACCAAUGGCGAAGGCAGUUUUCUGGCUCAUUGCUGACACUGAGGCGCGAAAGCGUGGGGAGCAAACA